GUCUGUACCUCAGUUCCCAUUUUUGAAAUGGGAAUGCUGCUCAAUGGACUGUCUGGAGGCAGCUGUGAGACUGUUCAUCAGAAAGUAUUAAUAAUUAAUAUGACGGGGUUGCAAGAGAGGUAAGACUUGUGGUGAGGCUGAAAGUAAGCACAGGACACACUGGCAGCAAGAUCCUAGAAAGGCAGGGAGGAUCAGAAGCCAGAACUGGUGCUGAAGUGAGGGUGGCAGGAAGGGAUUCCCUCCAUCCCUGUGUCUGUUCUCGGAUCACAGCAGAUGGCACUUGAGUCCUGCUUCACCCACUCCCUACAGGAAAAGGGACAAAGCCAGGGGGGCUUCUGCAGCUUCCAUGGCUUCCUUUGUGGAGAGAUACUUGAUAAACCAUCAGAAGUUAAUGAUCAAAAAGCUUAUCAGGGUCUUUUCAUCUAUAAAUUUAUAAGACAAAAGAGAAAUAAUAAAGCCAUUGGAUAAUUAGUAACUAGCCAGGGCCCGCCCGGUGCCACUGGGCUCAAACUACCCCAAGACCUGUACGCAGACUCGGGAAGAUGAGAAGGAGACAAGGAUGAAGGGAAGGAAAGAGUGGGAGGCAGAGAGAGAAUCAGCCAAGGAGACAACAAAAUGGGAGGAACAGCAGCAGAGACAAAAGUGAGGAGAGAAGGGAAAUAGGUAAAAAGGGUUUGAAAGAGAUAAAGGGAACAGAGGAGACUAAAAGAUGGGACAGAGCUGGAAGUGGGAAAGAAAUGAGAGACAUACUGGGCCAGAAAGAAGACUGAAUUAUUGGGAAUGCUUUCCCCACCCAGACAUGGUCUGCACCCAGAGCACCACGUGGCCUCCCUGCAGGGCGUUAACAAAGCUCAGAUGGACACAGAAGACUUUCUUUGUGUGGCUAAAGAGAUGUAACAGUUCGGAGUCCACAUAAAAACAUGUAAUGAUUCCUUAUACACACAGAAGUCCUGAUGCUGCUGCUUCUGCUUGCCUUGGAGACCUUCAGCUGCAGAGGCUUUUUUUUGAAACCAGUGAACUUUGAAGUCUAUAAACCCAGAAGUGAACAUCUGUUUUUAUGCUGGGACCUCACUGAACGCUACAACUGGAUGCCACGUGGAGAACUGAAUAUGGAAACCUUUCAAAUACUAAGGAGGAGGACAGAAGAAUCCCAGGCAUCACCUCCACCAAGACCAAGAGAACCUGUGUUGCACAUGCAGCAUCCUCCUGCUGCUGCAUCCCAGAACUUCAGGGGGCUGCAACAUGUUGCAGUUUCCUCUGCAUUGAUGCAGGAGCUGAGCUAGCAAGGAUGAAGGGAUCCACCCAGGACUACACAGCAGCUGCUGACAGAACAGAGUUACGUCAUGUCCAACUGUAUGUUCAAACUGGCUCUUGUCCCUCCCACGCUGGAAGGAACAAUGAAUGGGAAUGCACAGCUGGACUGGGACAACUGAUCCAAACUCCACAAAGCCCCACUCGCACAAACUGCUGCAAGUGAACUCCCAGGAGGUGGGAGCAGAACACACCACUUCUGCAUUUGGCAGAAACAAGGAGGGACGGAGGGUUCGGCAGCACAAACCAGGGAGGGGAGAAAGAUCAGUGUAAAUGUAGCAGUUCCCCUGCCUGGGAAGUCCUGCCUGGGACUUGUGCAGGGUUUGAUACAGGGCUGGUGAUAACACAGAGCAUGUAAUUUUUAUUUGUUCAAAGCACAUGGAACGUUAUUUUCCUUCCUUAAAAACCCACUUCGAGCAUCUCAUCCUACCGAUUUUACUUGGUUUCCAAGAUCACAAAUUCAAAACCACGGCAAUCUCCAGAAAUACCUGUGAAUUUAAUAAAUUGAACCGCCGGCGUGUA